UCCGGCAUGCUUUCCAGUUCGUCUUUAUUCUAUGGGCUUCCUCUGUGACUGUAGUAGUUGCAAUAGCUCAGAGUCGACGCUUUAUCGAGCUAUUUUACACGCUGCAGUGCUCUUAGAUAUAUUUAUGUCUACCCUACAAGUAAUUAGAGAACCUCGAGAACGUCGAGCAUCAAUACUUGUGCGCAUCUUUGUAUAUCUGUCACACCAGUGGUAAGCAAACCGUCACUGCCUCCUGCACCAAAUUGCCGCGACCUGCAUACAUGAUGAAAAGUGGAAUUGAAACCACUACACAUUAAAGCCACUGCUACAAGCGGACACCGGCAAUCCUUUGGAAGUCCCCACUUUUUCUAUGCCGUUGCAAGGAAUUCCUUAUCAGCAAAGAAAGGUAAGAAUAGAAACUGUACCCACACAACAAAGCCUUCCAGGUACACCAAGCAAGAAAGAUAAAACCUUGCCACUUAAAAAGCAGAAAGCCAACACACGGUACCAAAGCCAGUAAACUGGAAGACCUAUCUGAAGAGAAAUGGAGGCUGCAUGAAAAUGUGCUCUUGAAUAAACCACAAUUCUUUACCAUGGCCUCCAUUGUUUUCCUUGCGUCUGGGUUCUGGUGACUAAGCAAAAUUGCUUUUUCUCGUGCUUCUGUACGGUAAAAAUACUUUUUUUUUUUUUUUCGAUUUAGGAUUGUACACUCGGCAAACGUGCACUCUUAAGCAAAAAAAAAUUCGGAUGUCUAAAGACUGCAUGCUUUUCUCAACUGGCUGUUCAAAUCCGAAGGCCUUCUAUCCAUUUGUUAAAGAUUUCCUAAACUUCAGACAAUGUCAUCUAGCUUGUCGUUGGCUGAUUUGGUGAAACGAGAAAAUCUUAAAGUAAGUCAAAGUGGAAUAAUAAAUGUCAUUGAAAAGGAGCAAGUGAGUAGCCAAUAUAAACUCCUGCUCAUACGAAAAAUUGGCUGUUAUGUGGGGAUAGCUGUGGAAGCAAUGUAAAACUCUAAAAGCAAUAGAAAUCUGUCAUUGGUUAUGCCUGCGUGGUCUUAAAAUGACCACUCACCCAUUUCAGCUAUCAAUUUGUGAACAGCAGUCCAGAGGCCACCGUGAGGAAUCGAAUAACAUGGCCUAGUAAUGCCUACUGAAAAAACGGAAUGGUAGCAUGCUGCAGUCAAGAUAUCUGUUCUAGAAGCUUGCCUGAACUUUAGAGGAUUCAUGCUUUAUUGCUUUUGUAGUGAAUAUGUUCACUCUGAUCACAUGACUGUUGGCUGUACAUAAAAGCAAAUUCAUAUUCUGAAUAAACUGUUGGAAGUUGCCACC